rnacentral:sRNA from 1 species
GGUUCGAUUCGAGCGCAGCGAGAAAGCGUUGCCGCAGGCAACGACCCGAAGGGCGAGGAGCACAGCGACGAGUAAUCCUUCCCCCACCACCA